rnacentral:rRNA from 1 species
UGGGGAAUUUUGGACAAUGGGCGCAAGCCUGAUCCAGCAAUGCCGCGUGCAGGAUGAAGGCCUUCGGGUUGUAAACUGCUUUUGUACGGAGCGAAAAGGUCUGCCCUAAUACGGUGGGCUCAUGACGGUACCGUAAGAAUAAGCACCGGCUAACUACGUGCCAGCAGCCGCGGUAAUACGUAGGGUGCGAGCGUUAAUCGGAAUUACUGGGCGUAAAGCGUGCGCAGGCGGUUGUGUAAGUCAGAUGUGAAAUCCCCGGGCUCAACCUGGGAAUUGCAUUUGAGACUGCACGGCUAGAGUGUGUCAGAGGGGGGUAGAAUUCCACGUGUAGCAGUGAAAUGCGUAGAUAUGCGGAGGAACACCGAUGGCGAAGGCAAUCCCCUGGACCUGUACUGACGCUCAUGCACGAAAGCGUGGGGAGCAAACA